GAUGAACGCUAGCGGCAGGCCUAACACAUGCAAGUCAGGGGGCAUCACGGAUUGCUUGCAAUCUGGUGGCGACCGGCGCACGGGUGCGUAACGCGUAUACAACCUACCUUUUGGAGGGGAAUAGCCCAGAGAAAUUUGGAUUAAUACCCCAUAGUAUAUAGGAAUCUCCUGAUUUUUAUAUUAAACAUUUAUGGCCAUUAGAUGGGUAUGCGUCCUAUUAGCUAGUUGGUGUGGUAACGGCACACCAAGGCUACGAUAGGUAGGGGUCCUGAGAGGGAGAUCCCCACACUGGUACUGAGACACGGACCAGACUCCUACGGGAGGCAGCAGUGAGGAAUAUUGGACAAUGGGCGAGAGCCUGAUCCAGCCAUGCCGCGUGCAGGAAGACUGCCCUAUGGGUUGUAAACUGCUUUUACAGAGGAAGAACCACCCCACGUGUGGGGGUUUGACGGUACUCUGCGAAUAAGAUCGGCUAACUCCGUG
rnacentral:rRNA from 1 species